AAUUUUGAAUGUCUAGGUUCAUCUGAUUUACAUCCUUGUUUUCACUUCCCUCUUUGCUCCUGCAUGAAAUAUAGUGUACAGUCCUGAAUUCAGAAAAUCACAAUUGAAUUGACCAGAAAUGACUCACACUCCAUUGGAUAAAGUUAAUCUCUUCCAUUUCAAGGGGGACUUGAUUUGAAACACACUGAAGACACUGAUUAUGGACAA